UUUUAUGGCCAUACUGACUUGUCAAAGUCUGAUUCGUCAGAUCUCAGAAGCUAAGCAAGUCCGGGCCUGGUUAAUACUUGGUUGGGAGACCAUAGGGAAUAUCAGGUGCCACAGUAG
rnacentral:rRNA from 1 species